rnacentral:rRNA from 1 species
UGGGGAAUAUUGGACAAUGGGCGCAAGCCUGAUCCAGCCAUGCCGCGUGAGUGAUGAAGGCCUUAGGGUUGUAAAGCUCUUUUACCAGGGAAGAUAAUGACGGUACCUGGAGAAUAAGCCCCGGCUAACUUCGUGCCAGCAGCCGCGGUAAUACGAAGGGGGCUAGCGUUGCUCGGAAUCACUGGGCGUAAAGCGCACGUAGGUGGGUUUUUAAGUCAGGGGUGAAAUCCUGGAGCUCAACUCCAGAACUGCCUUUGAUACUGGAAAUCUUCGAGUCCGGGAGAGGUGGGUGGAACUGCGAGUGUAGAGGUGAAAUUCGUAGAUAUUCGCAAGAACACCAGUGGCGAAGGCGGCUCACUGGCCCGGUACUGACACUGAGGUGCGAAAGCGUGGGGAGCAAACAGG